UACGAAGGGGGCUAGCGUUGCUCGGAAUCACUGGGCGUAAAGCGCACGUAGGCGGAUUGCUAAGUCAGGGGUGAAAUCCUGGAGCUCAACUCCAGAACUGCCUUUGAUACUGGUGAGCUUGAGUCCGGAAGAGGUGAGUGGAACUGCGAGUGUAGAGGUGAAAUUCGUAGAUAUUCGCAAGAACACCAGUGGCGAAGGCGGCUCACUGGUCCGGUACUGACGCUGAGGAGCGAAAGCGUGGGGAGCGAACAGG
rnacentral:rRNA from 1 species